CCUACGGGUGGCUGCAGUGGGGAAUAUUGGGCAAUGGAGGCAACUCUGACCCAGCAACGCCGCGUGAAUGAUGAAGGUCUUCGGAUUGUAAAGUUCUUUUCUAAGGGAAGAAGAAAGUGACGGUACCUUUGGAAUAAGCCUCGGCUAACUACGUGCCAGCAGCCGCGGUAAUACGGAGGAUGCGCGCGUUAUCCGGAUUUAUUGGGUUAAAAGGGUGCGUAGGCGGAAGGUUAAGUGAGCGGUAAAAUGUCGGUGCUCAACACCGGCCUGCCGUUGAAACUGGUCUUCUUGAGUGAGCGAGAAGUAUGCGGAAUGCGUGGUGUAGCGGUGAAAUGCAUAGAUAUCACGCAGAACUCCGAUUGCGAAGGCAGCAUACCGGCGCUCAACUGACGCUGAGGCACGAAAGCGUGGGGAUCGAACAGGAUUAGAUACCCGUGUAGUC
rnacentral:rRNA from 1 species